AACAGUGACGGACAAAGGUUUUUAAUUGUUUCAAGAUCAAAACUUUAGAUAAUUUCUAAAAGGAUUUUUUAAACAAAAAUAAUUUGUUAUAACAUAUUAAGCUAAUUGUUUUUUCUUACAAAAAUAUCAAAUGUGUAAUGAAUAUAAAUAAUUAAAACUGUAGAGUUUAAUUUGUUAUUGAUGUCAAACCUAAGUUUUUUUUGUAAUUUUCCCCAAAGAUAAAUGUAUGCUAAUUGCUUUUCUUAAAAAAUAUCAAAUAUGGAAUAUAUACAAAUUCUUCUCUGUCUCGUCGUUCUGCUGGAUGACUAACAGUUGACACGUGAUGCACAAGAUUAAAAGAAUGUUUAACAAAUAUUUUUUUUGAAAAUGUUAGCUAAUUGUUUUUCUUAGAAAAAAUAUCAAUUGUGUAAUAUAUAUAUACGUGAUGGAUCCGAGGAUGGUGGCUAGGGGCGAUCACCACAUCAAAGUUAAAUCCGAAUUUUAUAUUACAAUUAACCACAAAUAUUUUUAAAUUAUAAAAUUAAAAUUAGUGUUAUAUAUUUUAUACAUGAGAUACAAAUUUUCAUAUUUGUAUUUACAUUUGCUCCUCCAAAAUUAUUUAAAAAUUCCCAUGAGAUAUUAAAUGGUACAUGCCCCCUAUCUGUCUAGUCAUUAUGACGGCAGGUUGAACCAUGAUACUAAGGCACUAGAAAGAUUUUAAACAAAAUAAAAUUGGAAUAAAUUUCAUUGACAUCUCUUAAAAAAAAAUAUCAACACACCAUUAAACUUAAUGGAUAUUAUUUUUUUCUCAAAAUUAAUCUACUUGUUUAAUUUUCUAUGAAAUCAAUUAUGUUUAAUUAAAAUAUAAUGAAAGCCCUAAAUUAAGGACAAUGUCGUCAUUUCUUAAAAAAAAAAACUAGUGGCGGAGAAUGGUUGCUAAGUAAAAAAAAAAAAGAUUUUGCUGGUUUAAAAAAUAAAGGAGGUGAUUGUAAAAGUUAGUUAAUUGUUUUUCUUAAAAAAUUAUCAAAUGUGUAAUAUAAAUAUCAAAUAUUUUUAAUGAAUAAUUUUUAAAAUGAUAUUAUUUUUUUCUUCACAUUAAUAGAUAAAAAAGUACAAUGAAAAAAAAAACACUAUAAAAGUUCUCCUAUAGUUAUUAAUUCUGUAAUCACCAAAAAACGAGUUAUCCAAGACACCCAAAAAAAUCUGCCCAGCGAGACCUUCCCCCAGCUCUCCUCCUCGCCAAUUUUUCAGAUUUCAACAUUCUCUUGGAAUUUUGGUACAAAUGAAGUUAGCAUUGGUAGGUUUUCUCACGUAGGGUCAAUUACUAAGACUUUCUUUGAAGAGAACUUCUCCUAUUAGUGGAGUGUCAACGGUCCGAUUGAUAUGAAUUAAGGAACGAAUCAAAAAAGUCUACGUUUUAAAAAAAUACAAUCCGUAUGUAGACCAAAAAAUCUACGGUUCGAUUUGAAAAAAUCAAAAAAUUUGACGGUUCGGAUCAGGAUUAAUCACGGGUAUUAUUUUAUUCAACCGAAAUUAAAAAAAAUAUUCAUGGUGAGCCAUUUAUAAAAACUGCAUUAAACAAAACAAGUAGCACUAAAACACAACAUUGAAAAAGUAUAAACUAAUUGAAAAUUGAGAUGUAGAUGCCUCAUGGACCAUAAACUAAUUGAAAAUGAUACAUGUGUCAUAUAAUUUUAUUUAUACCAAAUUGAGUAAUUUAGGGUAAAUAAAAACAAUUAAUAGAUUAACAAUUAUAAUUUUUAAAAUUCUUAUCCUAAUAGUUUAUAUAUAAUAUGUAUAAAUUUUAAAAUAUCACCAUUCGAUUCGGUUAAUACCUCGGUUCUUAAAAAUCCUCCUCCUAGGCCGCCUAGGCCCCGCCUAGGACGCUAGCCCAACCCGACCGCCAGGCCGCUAGGCCCCGCUGGCGCUUGGGCCCUUCGCCGCCCGCACAGCAGUAACGCCUAGCGCUUUCGGACUAGUUAGUUCUAAUUUGUCUGUAUUUUAGAGAUCUAAAUUGCCAUUUCUUAUAUUCCCAUCUUUGUAUUAUUCAAUAUUUUAAACAUUUUGAACUUACCUAUUUUGAUAUAAUUUUUUGGCUUUAAAUUGAAUUUGGUCAUUUAUUAUUUUUUUUAGUAAAUAUUAAUAAUUUAAAUAAAUAAAAUCAAAUAAUAAUAAUAAUAAACAAACGCUAGGCCCCGCCUAUGUGCUGGCUCCCCUCGGCCAGUCGAUUACCCGACUAGCGAUUUUAGAACCUGGUUAAUCCACAGUUCGUUUUAUUAAAAUCCAUGACGACUGCAAAAUUACGGUUUUUUUUAAUUUUUUAAUUCGUGGUUCGCGACCAUUAUAAUUCCAUAAUCCAUAAAAAAAACUAGGAUCAUUCGGUUCGGUUCGAUUCGCGGUUUUGUGUUUUUUUUUGCAGCCUACCCAUUAUGUUUAAUUAAAAAAAUAAUUCUUCUUUUUCGGAGUUUAAUAAUAAAAGGACUCUAGCCUUUUUUUCCCCGUAAAAGAGAGUAAGGACUUUUAUUAAUUGGAAUUAUGUGUUUGCAGUAACUUUUUUUUCCAACAAACUUAAAAAAUAUUUUGAUCUCGUGAUCAACAAUUAAAUUUCAGAAAAUAAUUUUUAUUUGGGUACUAUAUUUGAAUUGCAUGAAUGAUACCAUGAACUUGUUUUAAAACUAUUUUUUAAUGUAUUGCAAAUUCAGUAUUUUUCUAAAUUUAGAAUUUUUCAGAAUUUAUAUUUGAAAAAAAACAUCUUUUGAUUUUUCAAAAAACUGUAUGAUUUCUGUAUUUAGCAAUAAAAUCUUCCAAAAGACGCCAUCCUGAACACUGCAGAAUUUAGGGCUGCAGAGGAGAAAAAAGUUAUCAUGAGGGGAUAUUUUUAAGGAGAAAUACACUGACCUCCCCUGAGGUUUUUCUUUUAAUACAAAAGUACCCCUGACGUUUCAACAUUACAGUGACUCCUCUGAGGUUUGAAACAUUAUGCUGACACCCCUUGACCCCACUUUUCUUCCCUUUUCUCCUUAGUUUUUUUUGAAAUGACCAAAUGCCCCCCCCUCUCAUCCAUCCUCUCUUUUCCCCUUUCUCUCUCUCUUUUGAACCUUUUUAUUUUUAUGUUUUUACCUUUUUAUUAUAAUUUUUUUAAUACCCUUUAAUUAUAUUUUUAAUUAAAAUAAAUUUCCUGUUGUUACCUUGUUUGUAACCCUUUAUUUUAUUUAUUUGUAUUUUUUAUAUUAUUUCUUUUAAUACCUUGAUUAAUUUAAUUUAACAAAAAGAAUCCUUUUUUUGUUAUUUUUUCUUAGUUUUUUUUCUUUAUGUACUCUUCUAUUUUUUUUAUCCUGAGUCCUAAAUAUUUUUAACCUAAUCAGCUCGACUGGUAUUGUCUGCUUCUAUUUGUGAAAAGAACUUUUUUUCUUUUUUUUAAAAAAAGGAUUUUUAUUAUGGUUCAGAAACUGUUUUAGACAGAAGGUGAUAACAACAAUGAAUUGUGUCUGCUUCUAUUUGUGAAAAGAACUUUUUAUUCCCAUGUCUUUUAGUAAAUAAUGUUUUAACCCUGGGUGGUCAGUCAUGAUGUUGAAUUGAGAGGCUAUAGCCUUAGGCGAUAUGCACAACUGACCUUUAUUGAACGAAGCAGAUGAGGCUUCUGUUCACUUGAACCGGGCGAUCUUACAAGUUCAAUCGGUUGAACAAGGCAGUUUGAGGCAAAGAGAGAGAUAAAAAAUUUUGCAACAAAAUAUAUUUUUAUAAAUAUUAAAUAAUUAUUUUUCUUAAAUAAAUAUCAAAUGUGUAAGAGAGAGAGAGCCAAUAAAGGGCUUGCUGAUAGCCUUCUCAAAAAAAAAAAAUAAACGUGUAACAUUUGUACAAGUGUCCCUUCCUGUCACAUCCUCAUCCAGUAAGAGAUGAUGACCGUAUACAAGAGGUUAAGUUCAAUAAAUAUUAGAUAAUUGUUUUUUCUUAAAUAAAUAUCAAAUCUAUAAUAUAAAACACAACUCAUUUUGAAUUCAAAAAUUAUUUUUUAUUAUCUACGGUUGAAAUUUAUUUAAAUUAAAUAAUUUCAAGAGGUUAAAAAGUUUCUUAACAAAAUAAUUUUUUGUAAAUAUUAAAUAAUUAUUUUUAUUAAAUAAAUAUCAAAUGUAUAAUAGAGAAAGAGUGAUGGACCCAAAGAGAGAGAGCAGGCCAGUAAAUGGUUGCCCCAGCUUUCUCAAAAAAAAAAAGAAAUGUGUAACAGUUAUACGAGUGUCCCUCUCUGUUUCGUCGUCAUCCUCUAAGAGAUGACCAUCCGUGAUACAAGAGGUUAAAAAGUUGUUUUUAUGUACAAAUAAAGUUUUUGUUAUAUUAAUAUUUAAUGGUUUUUUAAAUAAAUAUUAAAUAUGUAGUAGAGAGAGAGUGAUGAACCCAAAUAGAGGGAGAGAUCAUUCUAAAAAAAAAGAAAUGUGUAACAUUUAUACGAGUGUUCCUCUCUGUUUCGUCGUCAUCCUCUAAGAGAUGACAAUACGUGAUACAAGGUUAAAAAGUUUUUUAACAAAAUAAAUUUUUGUAAAUGUUAAAUAUUUAUUCUUUAAAUAAAUAUUAAAUAUGUACUAGAAAGAGAGUGAUGAACCCAAAUAGAGAGAGAGAGCAUUCUAAAAAAAAAAAUGUGUAACAUUUAUACGAGUGUCCCUAUCUGUUUCGCUAUCAUCCUCUAAGAGAUGAUGAUAUGUGAUACAAGAGGUUAAAAAGUUUUGUAACAAAAUAAUUUUUUGUAAAUAUUAAAUAUUUAUGUUUUUUAAAUAAAUAUUAAAUAUGUACUAGAGAGAGAGUGAUGAACCCAAAUAGAGAGAGAGAGCAUUCUAAAAAUAAAGAAAUGUGUAACAUUUAUACGAGUGUCCUUCUCUGUUUCGUCGUCAUCCUCUAAGAGAUGAUAAUCCGUGAUACAAGAGGUUAAAAAGUUUUGUAACAAAAUAAUUUUUUGUAAAUAUUAAAUAUUUAUGUUUUUUAAAUAAAUAUUAAAUAUGUAGUAGAGAGAGAGUAAUGAACCCAAAUAG
rnacentral:lncRNA from 1 species